rnacentral:rRNA from 1 species
UACGAAGGGGCUAGCGUUGUUCGGAAUUACUGGGCGUAAAGCGCACGUAGGCGGAUUGUUAAGUCGGGGGUGAAAUCCUGAGGCUCAACCUCAGAACUGCCUUCGAUACUGGCAAUCUCGAGUCCGGAAGAGGUUGGUGGAACAGCUAGUGUAGAGGUGAAAUUCGUAGAUAUUAGCUAGAACACCAGUGGCGAAGGCGGCCAACUGGUCCGGUACUGACGCUGAGGUGCGAAAGCGUGGGGAGCGAACAGG